UGGUUUUAAAGACAAAGUUCUGUGAAUGAUGUGUGGUGCCUUUGACUCUGCUCCUGACCUUACACUGAGGAGCAGCAGUCUAGACCAAGAGUGCGAACUUGAGAGGCACGUAUGGUCUUUCUCUUUUCUUGUUGUUUUUUUCACCAUCUUCCUCCUCCCGGGUCCGUAUGGGAUUGUUCUGACAUACAGAGAUGGCAUACAAAGACUGGGCUCAAAGUCAGUCAUGACUGAAAGUCUACAUUUGUGACCUUGAGGACAUCUGCAGUGAUUGACUCAACUCCAUGGGCAGCCAGCUCCCGAGGAUGGAGCAAUCUCCUAGUUUUCCAAGAGCACCACCAUCCAUAUGGACAGAAGAGAGCCUUUGAACUUCCCAAAGUGACAAUACCAGCCUCUUCCGGCAACAGCAGCACAUCUGGGACAGCUUGUCUCUUCGAAAGCCUCGGUGUCUGGUACAUCGCAAGAAGAAAGAGGCUGCGACUGAGGAGCAACAGCUUGCGGGUGCGAGGUCGCGUGUGGGAGGAGGACGAGGAGGAGGUCGAGGAGGAGGACGCGGUCGCGGCAACGAGGCGCUGCAGUUUCGUGAGGUGCAGGACUUAGCUCGCUUUGUGAACAGAUCUUGGAAAGGCCGUGUUCACAGUGGCUAAGUUCCGCUCCUCAGAAGCACUGGCUUAGCGGCAGAGCGGGGCGCAGACGCUUAGCCCCGAGAGGGUGGCACACGUUAUCUCAAGCAGGAAGGAACUGAGAAAAAUUUCCUUUGGGCUAUGCAAGGAAAAGUUAAAUCAGACAGGGUGGCCUGGGAAGCACUUGGGGAUAAGGGAGCCUUGCCUGAUGGCACAGAUACUCGCGCUGGAAAGAGGGUACACAGACAGUGCUUCCGCUGUGAGCAUCACAUCUGUCGUCGGGUCGAAGGGGUUGGACUUAAUUGGUGCAUUAUAUGCA
rnacentral:lncRNA from 1 species